ensembl:processed_transcript
CACAGAGACACAAGAAACCAAAGGGCUUUACCGUCUGCAAGAGCUGAAUGCACGUCAGGUGACAUGGGCUCCUCCAGGAAAUACAAUCAGGCUUCACCCUUCUGGGAUCUUCAUCAUCCUCUUCGUCAUCAUCAUCCCAGCCGUUGUUGCUGGGCUGGGCAGGAGGCUCUGCUGGAGAUGCUGCUUGAAUGGCCUGCUGGUAUGUUGGAGGUGUGUUCAGCAGUGAUGGAGAAAGUGCAGGCACAGGAGGAGGAGCUUCAGAGGAGACUGCAGUGCUGCCGCUCGGGGGAGAUGGAGCCGUAGUGCUGAUGGUCAGAAGUAACAGUGAGGAUAACUGGAGGAGGAUCGGCUUGACAAAAAUGAGAAGAUGGACGUGGAGGUAGAGGUGGAGGAAUUGAUUUAUCUGUUUCCAGCAGCUCACUCUCCUGGGUUUCCUCAGGUGAAGCUUCUUUUUUAAGCCCCAUCUCUAUCGCCCGCCUCAAGAGGAGCUCACUGAAAUCUGGAGCCACAGACCUCGCUUGUAGGUCGAG